UGCAUCUGGGAUCUGAACCCUUGAACCCCAGGCUGCCAAAGCUGAAACUUGCAGUUUGCUGUACGUGGACAACUUUCCAGAUGAUCUCUAAGGCUCCAUGGAACUCCAGAACCUGCAUUCCGUCAUUAGAAUCUACCUGCUAGUAUUGCCAACUGACUGACUCAGUGAGCUUUGGGUGAACUGGUGCUCUCUCUAUGCAAGAAAAUGAUCCCAUAAUUUUUAUGUGACUCAUAUGCAAAAUGAAGUGCAUUCAUCCAUCUAUGUGGUCUACUGAUGGGAAAUAAAAUCAGAUAUUUCACUUCUGACUUCAUCAAGCAAAAGAAAAAUCAGUUGUGAUUCCAAGAAGAGAUGAACUCAAUUGAAAAAUCGCACAGCAUGAGAAAUAACCAUGGAGGGACAGUCAUUUUGCUCUGAAGAAGGAGAAUCCUUACGCAUACACCUUUUCUGAAAUUGUUUUUACCACAUGGUCUCAAGUUUUCAGUCUUUGAAGUUCUUCUAUGACACGGGGAGAAACUCAAGAGACCAAAAAAUACAAAAGUCAGAUACUGAAAAGCUCCCAUGAAAGUGGACAUCCUUGACAGCUGACAAACACAUAAUGUGAAUGUAAUAAAGCAUGGCAAAUAUUGAUGUGUUUCAUGAAUACGUGGAUGCCUUUUGAGGGAACUUAACUGAAGACAAGUACGAAGGUAGAUCUACUGAUGAAUUCCUCUUUACUUUCAACGUCAAGGAGAGAAAAGGAGAUACCAAAGGAGCUGAGAAGAGAAAUGAUCAAAUAGCUGCAUCUCAGUUGGUGAAAAUCACACCAAAUCCUUUUGAGUAUGCACCACAAUCUGAAAUUGUCUUUUUUCUUUACUUAUUCACUUCUUUGUUGUAUCUCCUCAUUUAGAAUGUGAGAUCCAAGAUGGCAAAGAUCUUGUGUGUUUUGUUCAUCACUUUAACCCAUUGCCUAAAAUUGCAUAAGGCCAUGGUAGGUGCUCAAUAAAAAAAUGCUCAAUGAAUGAA